UUUUUUUUUUUUUUUUUUGUUUUUGUUCUUUCUCUUGGCUUUCGCUCAUUUUCUCUCGCUUUCUACGUUAGUUCUUGUUGAUUUCAUACUGAUUUGGGCAUAAUUGAGUUGAUUUCAUCCUAUUGUGAUGGCUGGUUCAAGUUACAGUAAAGAUUGCUCAUCCUUUUUCCUCUGCCUUCUGCAGGUCAGAUCCUCUGUAACGGUCAUGAUGUGACAGAAUCUGGAGUUUUUCACCAAUAUAAGCAUCAACGUAAUUGGCUCUCCUUGAAAGAUGCAUCAAAGAAAAGUUUAUAAUUGGCUCUCCUUGAAAGAUGCCAUCAAAUAAAAGUUUACUGUCCUUGACAAUGUUCAAUGGUUUGAGAUUCUUGAAGGCAAGCAAGGAAAUUCUAUGCCUGCUAUUGAGUUGAUGGGGCUCGUAAGAUUGGCAAAAGAGAAGGCAAGAAUGCUGUCAAUGGGCCAACGGGAGAGGCUGCAACUUGGAAGACUACUGGCCAUUGACCGACCAAUUUGGUUACUGGAUGAGCCUUCUGUCGCAUUAGAUGAAGAAGGGGUAAUGCUCGAAUACAUUAUUGCAGAGCAUAGAAAGAAGGGAGGGAUUGUGUUUGUUGCAACGCCUUUGCCAAUUGAGAUGCUAUGUAUUUGAGACUGCCUCCGAGGUUCCCUAGAAGGAUGACUUUGGUAGAUGUGCUUGCUCCAGCCGACAUCUCAUAAAAUUCCAUCACUGCAGGUUAGGCUAAUUAAGUUGUUCUGGUUCAACUGGUUGAGCUUGCAUUAGUUGUAACGGAACAGUUUGCUGCCUUGAUGUGAAGCCAUAGGAAUGAAUAAAGGAUUUUGAUUCUGAAUGAAAUGGAUUGUGUAACUAUUUCCUGAUUCUGAACUUCUAUUUUUAUUUUUUAUUUAUUA